ensembl:rRNA 5S_rRNA 5S ribosomal RNA
GUCUCAGGCCGUAUCAGCCUGAAGGCGCCUGAUCUCGUCUGAUCUCGGAAGCUAAGCAGGGUCGGGCCUGGUUAGGAUCUUGGAUGGGAGACCACCUGGGAAUCCCGGGUGCUCGAGGCU